rnacentral:lncRNA from 1 species
GGUAUGACUUAUUUUUAUUUAACAAAAUUAUUUUAUAUUUGGCCCCCUUAAGUAUUUUGUCCAAAGUCUGCCCCUGGUGCCAGCCAAUCCUCCUCCUGGGUUAGUGGCUUGCAAAUCCACUCGUAGAUGAGUCCUAUGAGGAAGAAGAAGGUGAAAGGGAAGGAGGAGUAGGCUUAUGCUCCCUAUGUCACUCGCUGUCCAAAGGAUGAGGUCGAUGGUGGAGUGAAACUUGCUCGGGACUUCGAUAGAUAGAUCGGAUAACCCAGGGCACUCCUUCUAGGCUAAUAAGUCGUGAUUGGCUACUUUCUUGCAGACUCCUUGAGUUCAUGGGUAGGUCAGCGGAGAAGUGCCUCCUAUUUUCUAUGGCCCUUAAGAAAAUCAAGGAUUUUCAGUGGACAAUAGAAUACCAUACCACCUUUAAUCAGCUUCUAGAGUACCGUGCCUCCACCCCAC